GACGAACGCUGGCGGCGUGCUUAACACAUGCAAGUCGAACGGAAAGGCCCUGCUUUUGUGGGGUGCUCGAGUGGCGAACGGGUGAGUAACACGUGAGUAACCUGCCCUUGACUUUGGGAUAACUUCAGGAAACUGGGGCUAUUACCGGAUAGGAGCUCCUGCUGCAUGGUGGGGGUUGGAAAGUUUCGGCGGUUGGGGAUGGACUCGCGGCUUAUCAGCUUGUUGGUGGGGUAGUGGCUUACCAAGGCUUUGACGGGUAGCCGGCCUGGGAGGGUGACCGGCCACAAUGGGACUGAGAUACGGCCCAGACUCCUACGGGAGGCAGCAGUGGAGAAUAUUGCACAAUGGGCGGAAGCCUGAUACAGCAACGCCGCGUGCGGGAUGACGGCCUUCGGGUUGUAAACCGCUUUCGCCUGUGACGAAGCGUGAGUGACGGUAAUGGGUAAAGAAGCACCGGCUAACUACGUG
rnacentral:rRNA from 1 species